rnacentral:misc_RNA from 1 species
UCUCCGUUGGUGAACCAGCGGAGGGAUCAUUACAAGUAGAGUUUACGAACUCUUAAACCCUUUGUGAACCUUACCUAUCGUCAGUUGCUUCGGCGGGAGGCCCCUGGGAGGGGCCGUUGGGUGCCUGCCGAAGGUAUACCAAACUCUUGUUUUAUAAACCUAAAUCUUCUGAGUUAUUACUUUUAAAUAAGUCAAAACUUUCAACAACGGAUCUCUUGGUUCUGGCAUCGAUGAAGAACGCAGC